AAGGUAACUCUGUCAUCCUGGGCCAGCCUUCCCGAAAAGAUGGCUAUCUCAGAAGUAUGGGCUGUGGGGCCAUAGAGAGACUCCACAUCUAGCACCUGGGAUCGCAGGACUGUACUUGAUCCAAAUGCUAAGGAGCUGCAGAAUCCCAGAAAGGUCUCUGCUGCCCUGGCAAGCCCAAUUCAACAUCAUUAGCUCUAGACGGGCCUGCCGGCUGGUCCCAUAUCCUGGAGCUGGCCCCAAUUGCUUUGCUUCCUGAAAUUGACAUCCAUACCUAAAUCCUGGCUAAAAGGUGGGGUGCACUUGGCCAUGGUCUUCCUCUUGGAAGACUGGCCUUCUUGAGCGCCAGUCAGGGCUGGUAAUGCUGUAAAUUGCCCAAAUGGAGAGGAAAGAGUUCAACUAAGGCUGAAAGUGGAUGACAGCAUCAGGUGGGCCCAUGGAGACAUCCAAGGGCCCCUCACCACACCUUGCAACUUGGGAGCCUUCCUACAGCAUCGCCAUAUAGAGGCUCUGGAUGUUGUCUAACAGCUGAGCUCUGAGAG
rnacentral:lncRNA from 1 species